GUCAGGGGUGAAGGGGACACAGGUGAGAAGGGUCAGGGGUUAAGGGAAUACAGGUGAGAAGGGUCAGGGGUUAAAAGGACACAGGUGAGAAGGGUCAGGGGUUAAGGGGACACAGGUGAGAAGGGUCAGGGGUUAAGGGGACACAGGUGAGAAGGGUCAGGGGUUAAGGGGAUACAGGUGGCUUGCCUUGUUACACCACCUGACAUCAAUCUUAGUGGGCCAGAAAUGCUGCGGGACAUCAAUGUCUACGGUUCAACGCAGACAGCCAGCCAUCUGUAGGACACAUGCUGUAAAUUGUGACAUGAAAUAGUUGACAGUCAUCCUCACUGGGCCAUCUUGGAUGUUUUGGGAAUCUUUUAUUGUAAUGUCAAGAGAAGGGGUGGACACAAACCUAGCAGGGAGGGGCAAAGGCAGAACACACACAGUUGAAGUACACAAACACACAAACCAAUAUGCACACACACACAUACAUACGCAAAGGCGGAGUCGGUAGUUCACUCAGAGGGUCACGAUGUAAAUAAAUGAGUGAACCGAGGUGUUUCUCAUCAGGCACCAACGAGGCCAGCUCGGGUCCUCCAGGAUGAAAUACACUCAAAAACAAACAAACAAAUGUGCUUAUGAUCCACUAGAGGUGUCUUCUUUUAGUAUGAGGCAAAAUAAGAAAAUUAGAUCAUUGAAUAAGUGGGUAUUUAAAAAAUACAAAUAAAGAAAAAUAAAAAAAAUUCAAAGGAGGUUUAAAAAGCAGUGCUGUACUUUGGAUGUCUAAUAGUCUAUAUUACUUAAUUUGACCUUAUAUUUUAUAUACAGGAAAAUGUGGACCACAUAUUCUGUAUAAAUAUAUAGAUGGCAUGUUGUAAAAGUUCUGACAAAAAUGUGUACAUAAAGGUGUUUUUAUUCAUUUAUAAUUGUUCAGUGAAGCUGAAAUUGGGUCUGUGUUGUCUCUCUCAGAAAUCCUAUGUCUUUUGGGCCAUUGGACUUGCCAUAGCCAUAGGUUUUCAGAAAUUCCAACCUCAUCAUAGCAAAUGAAAUGGCAGGAGGGCGGGACAGUUGGGUGGGGGGGGGGUUGCUGUCCAUUUGCUUGUUAUUUUGUACAUUUUGUG
ensembl:lncRNA